rnacentral:rRNA from 1 species
UCCUGGCUCAGAUUGAACGCUGGCGGCAUGCCUUACACAUGCAAGUCGAACGGCAGCACGGGAGCUUGCUCCUGGUGGCGAGUGGCGAACGGGUGAGUAAUACAUCGGAACGUACCCAGGAGUGGGGGAUAACGUAGCGAAAGUUACGCUAAUACCGCAUAUUCUGUGAGCAGGAAAGCGGGGGAUCGCAAGACCUCGCGCUCUUGGAGCGGCCGAUGUCGGAUUAGCUAGUUGGUGAGGUAAAAGCUCACCAAGGCGACGAUCCGUAGCAGGUCUGAGAGGAUGAUCUGCCACACUGGGACUGAGACACGGCCCAGACUCCUACGGGAGGCAGCAGUGGGGAAUUUUGGACAAUGGGGGCAACCCUGAUCCAGCCAUGCCGCGUGAGUGAAGAAGGCCUUCGGGUUGUAAAGCUCUUUCGGCGGGGAAGAAAUGGCAACGGCUAAUAUCCGUUGUUAAUGACGGUACCCGCAUAAGAAGCACCGGCUAACUACGUGCCAGCAGCCGCGGUAAUACGUAGGGUGCGAGCGUU